AUUGAACGCUGGCGGCAUGCCUAACACAUGCAAGUCGAGCGGAGCGGCGGACGGGUGAGUAAUGCCUAGGAAUCUGCCUGCUCGUGGGGGAUAACGUCCGGAAACGGGCGCUAAUACCGCAUACUAUCAGAUGACCCUCGGUCGGAGUAGCUAGUUGGUGGGGUAAGGGCCUACCAAGGCGACGAUCCGUAACUGGUCUGAGAGGAUGAUCAGUCAGACUGGAACGGAGACACGGUCCAGACUCCUACGGGAGGCAGCAGUGGGGAAUAUUGGACAAGGGGCGAAAGCCUGAUCCAGCCAUGCCGCGUGUGUGAAGAAGGUCUUCGGAGUGUAAAGCACUUUAAGUUGGGAGGCGUUACCAACAGAAUAAGCACCGGCUAAAUUCGUGUCAGCCGCCGCGGUAAUAC
rnacentral:rRNA from 1 species